rnacentral:rRNA from 1 species
CCUACGGGUGGCAGCAGUGGGGAAUAUUGCACAAUGGGGGAAACCCUGAUGCAGCGACGCCGCGUGAGUGAUGAAGUACUUCGGUAUGUAAAGCUCUGUCAGCCGGGCAGAAAAUGACGGUACCUGACCAUGAAGCCCCGGCUAAUUACUAGCCAGCAGCCGCCGUAAUACGUAGGGGGCAACCGUUAUCCGGUUGUACUGGGUGUAAAGGGAGCGUAGUAGGGAGGGCAAGUCUGGAGGGAAAGGCGGGUGCUAAACCGCCGGACUGCACUGGACACUGCGAGGCGUGAGUGCAGGAGAGGUAAGUGGAAUUCCUAGUGUAGCGGUGAAAUGCGUAGAGAUUAGGAGGAACACCAGUGGCGAAGGCGGCUUACUGGACUGUAACUGACGCUGAGGCGCGAAAGCGUGGGGAGCAAACAGGAUUAGAUACCCCAGUAGUC